rnacentral:rRNA from 1 species
CCUACGGGAGGCAGCAGUGGGGGAUAUUGCACAAUGGGGGGAACCCUGAUGCAGCGACGCCGCGUGGGUGAAGAAGCGCCUCGGCGCGUAAAGCCCUUUCAGCAGGGAAGAAAAUGACGGUACCUGAAGAAGAAGCCCCUGCUAACUACGUGCCAGCAGCCGCGGUAAUACGGAGGGGGCAAGCGUUAUCCGGUAUUACUGGGUGGAAAGGGGGCGCAGACGGCGAUGCAAGCCAGGAGUGAAAGCCCGGGGCACAACCCCGGGACUGCUCAUGGAACUGCGUGGCUGGAGUGCAGGAGGGGCAGGCGGAAGUCCUGGUGUAGCGGUGAAAUGCGGAGAUAUCAGGAGGAACACCGGUGGCGAAGGCGGCCUGCUGGAAUGCAACUGACGUUGAGGCCCGAAAGCGUGGGGAGCAAACAGGAUUAGAUACCCGUGUAGUC